rnacentral:rRNA from 1 species
AUGCUUACAGAGUUCUAUCAUGCACAAUCAUGUAUGCACACCGAUCUAUCCAAAAGAUUAGCUCGCGACCCUCUCCGCCCGCACCGCCGGCUCCCCGGGAGGCCGCAUCCGGCCUGCCACAAGUACACCUAUGUCGCCGCCUCCCCGGGGGCCACAAUUGGAAGUGGGAUGACCAAGGAGAAGGCACGCGGCGGGGGCCAGGCGAUCAAGUGGGAGGCGGAGCUCGCCUCCCCCAAUGGCGACGACUUCAACCUCAAGUGGAAGUGGGAGGCCAAGUCCAAGCCUGGUGCUGCCGGCAAGGCCAAAACCAAGUGGGGCACCCAGGAAGCCAACAAAGAUGACAAGAAGAAGCCGACGGUGAAGUGCGUCCAGAGCAAGGAGAUCCCCGCUGGCUGCGACAUCCAGAUCGAGUUUGUUCUGUAG